AUCUGGCCGCGUUCGUAUGGCCAGGUCUUGUCCUUGAACCCGCGGCACCGCGGCUGGACGGAUUCCGGUCCUCACGCCCGGAGCCAUGCUGCUCGCAGUUAACGUUCGCUUCGUGGCAGCCAGGUACGCCUGACGCCCGCAACCUAGCGCCCCGACGCACCGUCCCCCAUUAGAGCGUCAGGCUGUACCCUGCGUGUGCCCCGUGUCUGCUCUCGUUCUGCGUGCGGAGCCUUGGCCUCCGGGCUCUGCCCCUCCCCAGCUACAGCGUUAGGCCGCAGGGCGCCACGCCGCCACCUAGCCCCUACCCUGCUAGCCCAUCGUUGGCUGGAUUGGCGCCCCCUCACCGCUGCAGCACUCCGAGGCCUGUUACCUUUCUGACUGAGCCCUCCAGCUCGCUCGCCCCUUGUGGAUAUGAUGCCGGGGUUCUUGUUCACGAAGCCGAAGAAUGAGCUUCACAAACAGUCAAGGUCAGUUCUCCUUGGGUCUCAGGGACUUGACAUAUCCCACAUCUCCCAGCGAUUGGAGAGUCUCAGUGCGGCCACUCCCUUUGAGCCUCUUGAGCCUGUGGAGGACACAGACAUUCAGGCCUGACCGCCAUAUUUUGCAGACCGCCUGAAGCUCACCACCAAGGGGCCAAGAGCACAGCCUUUCCUUACAAGCUCCCCCAGAGAAAAUAGACGUCUGAGUGCUUUCCAAACAGGAGACAUCACCGUUUGGGAAAAGAAAAUGGAGUCGCGUCCCAGCCAGGCAACAGCUGCUUGCUCCUGCCCGUCACCUCCCUGGCUCCCCCACCCCUCCGCUGGGCCCUGGCUGCAGGUGGAGCCUGGAGCUGCAUGGAAGCUCUGGCUCCCGGCUGCUGCAUUAACCAGGGCAGUGGCGGGCCGGCACCAAAGCAUGCGAGGAUGGGAAUGUGGACUCAGCCUGGGACAGAUGGUGACAACCCCGGGAGGUGGGCACGGGGCCUGCUGCCCGGAAUCCUUCUGCCCCGACCAGGGCAUGUCCCCACCGCCAGGUGGCCCCAGGACUGGACUGGGGCAAGACACAAGGACACACAUCAUGUGGGUGCGCCUGGCAGAAGCUCCCCGGGCACUGAGACAACGCAGCACACUGGCCCUUGGAAAAGCUGGCACUCUUAAUUAACGGUAGGUGACUAAUAAAUACAUUACUGCAGCCAAUAAAUUAUUACAAUAAUGAUAAAUUUAUUAAACAAA